rnacentral:rRNA from 1 species
AGUAUCUCCCCUGUAUCUGGAAUAACCCACCGAAAGGUGAGCUAAUACCGGAUACGUUUAUCUUGAUGCGAAUGAUGAUAAAGAAAGGUGGCCUCUUCAUGAAAGCUACUGUACAGGGAUGAGCUUGCGUACCAUUAGCUAGUUGGUAGGGUAAUGGCCUACCAAGGCGACGAUGGUUAGCGGGUCUGAGAGGAUGAUCCGCCACACUGGAACUGGAACACGGACCAGACUCCUACGGGAGGCAGCAGUGAGGAAUAUUGCGCAAUGGGGGCAACCCUGACGCAGCGACGCCGCGUGGAUGAUGAAGGCCCUUGGGUCGUAAAAUCCUGUCAGAUGGAAAGAAAUGUACGGGUGUUAAUAUCGCCUGUAUUUGACGGUACCAUCAAAGGAAGCACCGGCUAACUCCGUGCCAGCAGCCGCGGUAAUACGGAGGGUGCGAGCGUUGUUCGG